rnacentral:misc_RNA from 1 species
GUGAAAAAAUAAAUAAAUAAAUAACAGAGCCAUGGUGGUUCCGUCACAGACAGCAUUAGACCGUUACUCUGUAAUCAAAACAUGCAAGCCUACAGGCUUCUUCUCUGGGAUUCCUGUCAUAAACCUGACCAACCCUGAUGCCAAGACCCUCAUAGUUGAGGCUUGUCAGGAGUUUGGGUUCUUCAAGUUGGUCAAUCAUGGAGUCCCAUUGGAGUUCAUGACCAGAUUGGAAGCUCUGGCUAUCAACUUCUUUAAUCUCCCUCAGUCCGAGAAAGAUAAGGUUGGCCCUCCUGACCCUUUUGGCUAUGGCAACAAGAGAAUUGGCCCUAAUGGUGAUGUUGGUUGGAUUGAAUAUCUGCUCCUCAACACCAAUCCUCAAAUCACUUCCAACAAAACUUUCUCCAUUUUCCAGGAGAACCCACAAAUUUUCCGCUCUGCUGUGGAAGAUUACUUAUUGGCAGUGAAGAGAAUGGCCAACGAAGUACUGGAUUUAAUGGCUGAUGGAUUGGGGAUUGAGCCAAGGAAUGUGCUGAGUAAGCUGCUGAGUGAUGAGAAGAGUGACUCAUGCUUCAGGCUAAACUACUAUCCACCAUGCCCAGAGCUGCAAGCAUUGAGUGGUAGAAAUUUGGUUGGGUUUGGGGAGCACACAGACCCACAGAUAAUUUCUGUCUUAAGAUCUAACAACACCACUGGCCUGCAAAUCUGUCUGAGAGAUGGGACUUGGGUUUCAGUCCCACCUGAUCAGGCCUCCUUUUUCAUCAAUGUUGGUGAUGCCUUGCAGGUAAUGACCAAUGGAAGGUUUAGGAGUGUGAAGCACAGAGUUAUAGCUGACACAAUGAAAUCAAGAGUUUCCAUGAUCUACUUUGGUGGUCCACCCUUGAGUGAAAAGAUUGCACCUCUACCAUCUGUUUUAGCAGAAGGGGAAGAAAGCUUAUAUGAGCAGUUCACAUGGUGUGAAUACAAAAACUCAGCUUACAAGUCAAGGUUGGCUGAUUACAGGCUUGGGCUAUUUGAAAAAAAACUGCAGGCCAUUUUAGCAAAUGUUUAGGUUUUUGUCAAAGCUCAAAAUAGGUUUGACAGAGUUUACUGAAAUUCCCGUAGAUGGAAAAGCAUAUAGGUCGUUCUUUUACUUUUCUUUUGUGGAUUUUUUUUUUCUCUCUCUUCUGGUUUAAAUGUAACAGCAAAUGCAGCAGCUUCUCUACCAUCAAUGCAAGUUAUCAUCAUGUCAUCAUGUAUACAAUACUA